UUUGAGUACAUUGCCAUAUAUUGCACAAUCCAGAAACGUGAGAACCGCGAACUUAGAUCCUGAUGUGCCUGGUGGAAUGGUUGUGAAAAGAAAGACAUGCCUGGAUAUACUUCCACAGUGCAUCGGGAUCAAUACGACAAGCUUACUGAGGAGCAGUUUACUUGGUGCCCUUACAUUGACGAGGAAGACGAUGAUUUGGUGAGGACGACGCGUGUCUAUCGGCGUGCCCAGGUUGAUCUUAUAUUAGAAAACUCUCUGCAAGCCUAUCAUCCCAAACAAGUGUUAUGGCAAUUUGAGCUCACAAAAGAGGCCCCACCUUUUGUUCCCCAUAGGGCCAUUGAUAAGAUGAAGGGGGGACCUCUAUAUGCAGGUGAGCUUCAAAGGGCACGUGAUAGAUGGGUAUGAGCAUUUGAAUUUUGUUUAAAUGGGAAGGAAGGUGUUGGAGUGUAGGUGUUGGUUAGAGGAGGAAAAAGUGAGGAAUCCCAAACUAUUUUGAUGCAAGCGACUAGGUGGGAUUUGCACUCAAAGAUAAUGGUGCAUAACUAUCUGCAAGAGGAUCCUAAUGUGCUACUGGUUACCUGAAGAAGCGAUCUCAAAAGGAUGAAGGGUUGUGUCUUGAAUUAGGUAAUGAGAUGGAGUUUGAAACAGAGGGUUCACAAGAGAUUAAGACCCUCCUGGAAACAACAUUGCGAGAUCCAAAUGUUAGAGAGGAGAAUGAGGCCCUUAAGAAGCACCUCGAGGAUUGUGCCGGGCUCCGAGUGAUUCACCCAAUCUU